rnacentral:lncRNA from 1 species
GCUAGCACCAUCGUGCGAGUCACUCAGCAAAGCCCCGACACCAGGACCGUGGUGACGAAGAAUACACCUGGAGAACUGCCUCUUCCAUGGUCGGAGAAGGAUCCUUACAAGUUGCCGCUUAGCAUUGAAAAAGUCCAGCGGAUGCUUUUUUCGCUUGGUAUGCGCUUCGCUUGCUGAGACUGUUCUGCUCUCGCGUCGCGCGGCGCUCUGUAUCCAUGUCAGCCACCUGUUUGUAGGUUGGGAAAAGCCGUGGAUUGAGCAAAUUGUGGAUCGCAUUAUGAAGGGGAUGCUGCGCACGACGGAGGAGCGAGCGCGCGGAGUGGUAAGCCGCAUGGCAACCUUUCUAUAAAUAUGGUGAUUAAUACAGGCCCUCUUGCCCCACAGAUCGAUUACCUUGUAAGCGUCGGGCUAAAGCAGGACGAGGUUUGCAACAUGGCGUCGAUCAGCGUUGUGCUCCUGGGCCUGAAUCCGGAGACGCGUUUAAAGACUGUGGUUGAGUACCUCAAGGGGAGAGGCGUUCCGG